AGUUUAAAAGCUUCAUUAAACUCUCUGAUGUUCUGUCUGGCUUCUCACCCGUACCGGGGUAUAUGUGUCCUGUAGCUGCACAACACACCGAAAAUAGCGCGCACACCGUCCACAAGUCGUCCGCACAACUUCGUGAUUUAACAAUCAUUCGCACCGGUGUGCACUACCCUCGGCAUUGAUACCAUUGGUUGAUCAAUAUUAUGGAAUGAAUAAAAACCUCUGGAAGGAUCAUAUGAAAUAAGGUGUCAACCUCUGAAACCUCCAACGAGGGAGAUCUCCCUCAUUCUACUUUUAAGGGAGAAAGUGCGUGAAACGUGACUGAAACUGCUCUGCUCAAUUUAUCUUUCCCUUUUUAUUUAUAGAAAUCACUCUAAAACUCAUUCAUUUGAUUAAGACACACCUGUUGUUAUAAUUACACACACCCUGCAGUUACUAGAUCAUUUGACCACAGGAUGUAGAUUUUGAGUUUGUGUGAGCUUGGACUUGAAUGAGGCAGUUUCGAGAGAGAUUGGUCAAUUUUGGUCAAAAUGAGAGAGUCUCCCUCCUAACAGUCUAAUGAGGGAGGGUUGACAGCUAUGAAUUUGACAACAUAUUGAUAUUCUCAUAAAAAGCAAUGUUGCAAAUCAUCAUGUUCCUUGUCGAAUAUAAUUACCCUGUCAACGGUGUGCAUACCAUAUUUUACGGAGGACCAUUUCCAUCAAAAGAUACACCCUUUUAAGCUUCUGAUAUUGAAGUAGAACAGCUGUAGAAGGGUGUUAUCGGGAUAAUUAGCGAGGUCAAUUUCCUGUUCUAAAAUAUAUAAAUUACGAAAUAAAUAUCUUU